rnacentral:lncRNA from 1 species
CGAGUCUGUCUGAGUUUUGUUUGGUAGUUAGUUUAUUCAAUGUUAACCGAAAUUAGGGGUCUAGAGGAUUCAACUGUUGUUUGGAUUGUUUGAUGUUAAGUGAUGAUGAUGUACAUAUAUAUAUAGUUAUAUAGUAGGGAUUGUGUGAUGAGUGCGGGGGCCCAGAGAGAUCUGGGAUAGCGACUCAUAUGAGUACGGGGGCCAGAUAAAUCUAUUAGCGACGUAUAGAGUGCGGGGACGGAGAGACAUCUGAGCUAGCGAUGCAUAGUGAAUGAGUACGGGGGCAAGAGACUUCUGAGCUAGCGACGUAUAUUGUG